GGUGGAUCUGUUGUCGUGCCAACGGCAUAGCAGGGUAGCUAUGUACGGACGGGAUAACCGCUGAAGGCAUCUAAGCGGGAAGCCCCCCUCAAAACAAGUAUUCCCUUGAGAGCCGUGGAAGACCACCACGUCGAUAGGCCGGAGGUGGAAGUGCAGUAAUGCAUGGAGCUGACCGGUACUAAUAGCUCGAUUGGCUUGAUUGU
rnacentral:ncRNA from 1 species